GUUUAGUGCAACCGUGGAUCGAAAGCGGACUUUAAACAAUUGAUUUCCAUGCCCUAAAUGCAUUGCUUUUAUAAAACGCAUAGAGCUAAAGUUAACAUAAUCGACGGUGCAUGUGUGUUAGGGAUGGAAUACAGCGCUCAGUUUGUGGAUCCUGUUGAUCUGUGUGCUAUUUGCCCGCGUGUUAGAUGCCUUAGAAGAGCUCGUGUUGAAUAGAAUAGUCACCACAGGCUUCGAGAAAGCCAGGUUUCGUCGGUUCUAGUGGAUGGAAUUUGCGGAUACUCGAUGUGUAGACGACUGCUCAUUAGAGGUAAUCUUAAUUUGAUGCCCUUUCCGUUUGUCUCUGACGUCGACUGACACGCGCUUUGAAGCCUUGCAUUUAUUUUCGUAGUUUUUUGGUCAGUUCCUUUGUCACAGCCGACGAGGUGGUUAUUUUCGCAUGCAGCAUAGCGGUAUUCGGUUGGAAGCGUUUUUCUUUAUCAAUGUGCAUUGAUGUAGCAGAAAACGUGGAGGAGAUAAGAACCCUUAUCUCAGCACCUGGUACCUUUGGAAAGGAUUUAAUUGAAGAAACGGUCUGCAAGCGAUUGAAAGUAUUUCCAUUCUUGUCUAAAUCGGGAAUUACACGUCCAAACUGGGAUCUAUGAGCGGAAAAGUGGCGAAGCCAAAAGAAGAUAAGGAUGCUUCCAAGGUCCAGGAUGAUGCUGCUCCAGGUACCCAGGAAUACAUUAUGUUGCGGCAGGAUUCCAUCCACUCAUCGGCGGAUUUAAGGAGUAAGGGGUCCCCAUUUCGUGCUAAGUGUCACGAAAUCUUCUGCUGCCCGCUGAAGCAAGUCGUCAACAAAGAGAGCUCAGAGCCCGAAGAACCCCAGUUGAAGGGGAUUGUGACGAAGCUGUACAGUCGACAGGGCUUCCACCUGCAGCUGCAAGCCGAUGGCACCAUCGACGGGACAAAGGAGGAGGACAAUGGCUACACCAUAUUCAACCUCAUUCCAGUGGGGCUUCGAGUGGUGGCCAUCCAGGGAGUUCAGACCAAGCUCUACCUGGCCAUGAACAGUGAGGGCUUCCUGUACACAUCAGAACACUUCACCCCGGAGUGUAAGUUCAAAGAGUCGGUGUUUGAAAACUACUACGUGACCUACUCCUCCAUGAUCUACAGACAGCAGCAGUCUGGUAGGGGCUGGUACCUUGGUCUGAAUAAAGAGGGGGAGAUAAUGAAGGGAAACCACGUGAAGAAGAACAAGCCAGCAGGCCACUUCCUGCCCAAGCCUUUGAAAGGUGAGUCUGAAUAAAGAGGGGGAGAUAAUGAAGGGAAACCAUGUGAAGAAGAACAAGCCAGCAGGCCACUUCCUGCCCAAGCCUUUGAAAGGUGAGUCUGAAUAAAGAGGGGGAGAUAAUGAAGGGAAACCAUGUGAAGAAGAACAAGCCAGCAGGCCACUUCCUGCCCAAGCCUUUGAAAGGUGAGUCUGAAUAAAGAGGGGGAGAUAAUGAAGUGAAACCAUGUGAAGAAGAACAAGCCAGCAGGCCACUUCCUGCCCAAGCCUUUGAAAGGUGAGUCUGAAUAAAGAGGGGGAGAUAAUGAAGGGAAACCAUGUGAAGAAGAACAAGCCAGCAGGCCACUUCCUGCCCAAGCCUUUGAAAUGUGAGUCUGUCCAUCUUUUUAGCUAUACGGUGCUUGGCUCUAUUUUGAAGACAAUGGAGAAAAAUAGGGAAAGGUUUCUUAGCAAACUUUUCUUAAAAAAAUAUGUUUCUUGAUUAUUCUCCCAAGGCCAUUACAUUGCAAAUUAACGUUCACUAUAGCCUGGAGCACUGAGCUUUGGCAGCGGUUAUUUGUUUGAAUGGGAGACUUUCCCCCCAAAAAACACAAGCUUCUCUUUGAUUAAAUGCCCCUUUUCCCUUUACCUAUUCUCCCUCUCUUCCCCUCCCUCAAUGUGGGUAGUAUCUCCCUACUGCCUGGAGAAAGGCUGCUCUCAGCUACCCUGCCGCUGGGUGUUCUGCUCGGAGGCAAUGGUGUGUGGGCGGGGCUAUUGAGCGCUUCCCGAAAGCGAUUCAUACUUCACUGGAGCCAGACAGUGGAAAAGACAUUGGCAAUGGCCAUGGCAAAAAGCUGCAGGAAUGAUACAGUUCUGCCUGUUUUGAACAGUGACAGCUAGGCUUUUUAACGCUAAUGUCUUGGCCAACCAGGCCAGGUGCCUCAUGGGAGGAGAGGGAAAGAGGGGGUAUGAUUGGAUGCUGGAUAGAUGGAUCUGUUCAUGUUAAAAAGGCCAAACCUCUUUCAUCUAGAUCAACACACAGGCUUACCUGAACGAGAAAACAGAGCGCGAGAAAGCAUCAGUACUCCACUUCCACAAGAUGAAAGGAUGAGCUUUACAGAUGAAAAUUCCUCCUCAAUGUAAAAGAACCACUAGCGACCCAAAUUACUCAACCGACGAGAAAUGAGCACCGAGCGGCUAGCAACUUCUGUAAAAAAUCUAAUCAGACGAUCAGUCAUUCGGUCAUUUGGAUCUGUCAGUUCCAAGCUCCUUUUAUGGUUACAAUUUACAGACUAAAGAGACUGUAUCACAAAUACAUUGUUAUCCCGUUCAUGUGCGUUCUGAAAAUCAUGGUUAAAAAAGUCAAAUAAGUUGUAGUGCCUAAAUGAGGGCAGGAGGGCAUUGGAGAGUGAUGCAUGGGCAUUGAAUCCCUUUCAACCCCUUUUUCACAAGGGCAGAAAGGCACAGCAAACAGGCAGCUGUAAUGACAAUGAUGCUUUCUCUCCCAGGUUGGCUGGUCUGCUCUCAUCCACCGACCAAUCGACCAGUAGCCAUUAAAAAUCCACAUCUCUGCUCACUGAGAUCACUGUGUUGCAUUUAACAGCCCGACUAGAGAGAGAGAGAGAAUCAAGAGGGGGAGAGAGAAAGAAAAAAACAUUUGUUCCAGCAGCCCAUAAAGAUCCAGAGGCAGCAGCAAUACCAGCCGACCAAUUAAGGAGCCGUCUCUGCAUUUCAACCAUCUCCACCAGCCGCUCCUCGCUCCCCCUCUCCUCUUCGCUCUGGUUCCAGUCCACGAAUCUCAGCCCACAGCCUUUAAUUUGACCCAUCCGUGUGUUAAGGUGCUAGGUCAAAGAGGGAGAGAUACAGUAGAGAGAGAGAUGGAGGGAUAAUUGGAGGAUUGAAUUGGCUUGACUGCUUAGUAAAAGCGUAUAUGAACUAAGGAAGGAUGACCUAGAGGUCAGGGUCCAUCUCACCGCUGGGCCGGUCAUCCUUCCUGAUUAUAGUUCCUUAAUGCCGUGGAUAAUAAGCCCAGCAUCGAUUUCACACAGCUUCCCACUUAAGUCCACUAUUGAUUGACGUGUUGCUUUGUGUGUAGCCUGCUGUUAAAACCAAAAAAGCAAGGCAAUGUCAAGCCCCAGGAGGGGCAUGCAUUAAAACACUGGCUGUUUUCGGAGUGGCUCCUAAACACCAAAGAGAUCAGAACCUCUAAGGUGACUGGUGUUUCUUCUGAAAGGCUUCCGCGGUGCAGACAACACUGCUUUAACUUUUACAAGCUCCUGAAUAACUCAUGUAAGGCAGUGUCUAUAAGUACUUUCUGCCCUCUAAAAAUAACUUGUCCUAAUAUUUCUUCGGUGCUUAUGGCAGGGGUGUACAUUCUGUUAUGAGCGUCAGUGACAGGAUCCGAGGGAGUUGAGCAAUAGAAGAGAAUAGAAUACAACUUGGUCCCACCAAAGAGGAGAACGUGAAUCUCCAGAUGGACAAUACAAUUAUAUUCCAGUGUAUUCUUUUGUAUUCUAUUCUACUGCUCACCUCCAUCUAUAUACUAUCAGCCAUGUGUCUUACCAUUCUCCUGUCUGUCUGU